rnacentral:rRNA from 1 species
UACGUAGGGUGCGAGCGUUGUCCGGAAUUAUUGGGCGUAAAGGGCUCGUAGGCGGUCUGUUGCGUCAGGAGUGAAAACUCGGGGCUUAACCCCGAGCCUGCUUCUGAUACGGGCAGACUAGAGGUAUGCAGGGGAGAACGGAAUUCCUGGUGUAGCGGUGAAAUGCGCAGAUAUCAGGAGGAACACCGGUGGCGAGGGCGGUUCUCUGGGCCGAAACUGACGCUGAGGAGCGAAAGCGUGGGGAGCAAACAGG